GCAAAUUAAUUCUCUUUCUCAUUUCUCUUUUUCUUUCCUCACGCAAUGCUCUCUAUCGCUCCCUCCUCUCUGUCUCCUUCGGCAAACAUCACCGGUUCUCGCCGCCUCCGGCGUGGCGAGGCCGGCUCCUCAUCUUCUCCUUCCUCUCUAUUCCCUAUUUCCUUCUCUAAUUCUAAGAUUCCCAAUUUCUAGGGUUUUCUGCCUCCGUUUCCCCUCUUAAAUUCGCCCCUCCGGCGAGUGCUGCCUCUGCCACCACUACCGCCGUCUCCAUCGCACCGCUACCCCUGCCUCAGAAAUCAAUGCUCUUCGGUAAACAUCGCUGGCGGAAGGCGUCACCGGCCCGACAAGGCAGCCUCGGUUUCACUAUGGCUAUUCGAAUUUCAUCUGUUCUUUUUUUUCUUUUUAUAUUUAUUCAGUCCAUAAACUCUUCGAAACAGGAAGCAUACUCUAGAUGCUGAAGAAAAUCGAGUUUUAUUGCUUGGUAUCUUAAAUUAGAACUAGAUGUAACUAUUGUCUGAUUCUGUUAUUCUUGGCUGCUGUCUAUGAAUGAAUUACUGAACUGUAUAAAUGAAUACUACCUGAAUUGCUUUGCUGUGAAA